rnacentral:rRNA from 1 species
UGCCUUUCUAUUAGCUCGUAGUAAAUUACACAUGCAAGCAUCCCCCCUCCGGUGAGAGUGCCCUCCAAAUCUACUUCAGAUUUAAAGGUGCCGGUAUCAAGUUCGCCCCACGGGCUGCUCAUAACACCUUGAUUCUCCACACCCCCACGGGAUACAGCAGUGAUUAAGAUUAAGCCAUGAACGAAAGUUCGACUAAGUUAUACUACACCUGGGUUGGUAAAUUUCGUGCCAGCCGCCGCGGUCAUACGAUUAACCCUUGUUAAUAAAGCUCGGCGUAAAGCGUGGUUUAAGUAAUAAUUAACAAAAUAAGGUUAAGCUUUUAUCAAGCUGUAAAAAGCCCCGACAAUAAUAAAAAUUAAGAACGAAAGUCACCUUAAUACACUUGAACCCACGAUAGCUAGGACCCAAACUGGGAUUAGAUACCCCACUAUGCCUGGCCCUAAACAUUAAUACUCAACUAACAAGAGUACUCGCCGGAGAACUACUGGCAAUCGCCUAAAACUCAAAGGACUUGGCGGUGCUUUAAACCCCUCUAGAGGAGCCUGUUCUAUAAUCGAUAAACCCCGAUCCACCUCACCACUCCUAGCAAUUAUCAGCCUAUAUACCGCCAUCUUCAGCAAACCCUAAAAAGGUAGCACAGUAAGCGCAACUAUCCUACAUAAAAACGUUAGGUCAAGGUGUAGCCUAUGGAGUGGGAAGAAAUGGGCUACAUUUCCUGAUCACAGGACAGCUACCCUAACGAUGGUCAUUAUGAAAUUAAAGACUCAAGGCGGAUUUAGUAGUAAGCUAAGAAUAG